UACGUAGGGUGCAAGCGUUGUCCGGAAUUAUUGGGCGUAAAGAGCUCGUAGGCGGUCUGUCGCGUCUGCUGUGAAAACUCGGGGCUUAACCCCGGGCCUGCAGUGGGUACGGGCAGACUAGAGUGCGGUAGGGGAGACUGGAAUUCCUGGUGUAGCGGUGAAAUGCGCAGAUAUCAGGAGGAACACCGGUGGCGAAGGCGGGUCUCUGGGCCGUAACUGGACGCUGAGGAGCGAAAGCGUGGGGAGCAACAGG
rnacentral:rRNA from 1 species